CCUACGGGAGGCAGCAGUGGGGAAUAUUGGACAAUGGGCGCAAGCCUGAUCCAGCCAUGCCGCGUGAGUGAUGAAGGCCCUAGGGUUGUAAAGCUCUUUCAGUGGGGACGAUAAUGACGGUACCCACAGAAGAAGCCCCGGCUAACUUCGUGCCAGCAGCCGCGGUAAUACGAAGGGGGCUAGCGUUGUUCGGAAUUACUGGGCGUAAAGCGCACGUAGGCGGACAUUUAAGUCAGGGGUGAAAUCCCGGGGCUCAACCCCGGAACUGCCUCUGAUACUGGGUGUCUUGAGUGUGGUAGAGGUGAGUGGAAUUGCGAGUGUAGAGGUGAAAUUCGUAGAUAUUCGCAGGAACACCAGUGGCGAAGGCGGCUCACUGGACCACAACUGACGCUGAGGUGCGAAAGCGUGGGGAGCAAACAGGAUUAGAUACCCCUGUAGU
rnacentral:rRNA from 1 species